rnacentral:rRNA from 1 species
UACGUAGGUCCCGAGCGUUGUCCGGAUUUAUUGGGCGUAAAGCGAGCGCAGGUGGUUUAUUAAGUCUGGUGUAAAAGGCAGUGGCUCAACCAUUGUAUGCAUUGGAAACUGGUAGACUUGAGUGCAGGAGAGGAGAGUGGAAUUCCAUGUGUAGCGGUGAAAUGCGUAGAUAUAUGGAGGAACACCGGUGGCGAAGGCGGCUUUCUGGACUGAAACUGACGCUGAGGCACGAAAGCGUGGGGAGCGAACAGG